UCAUAAACUUUGACGGACCAAGAUGGCGACAGGAAAUACAUGCGAUUUCAAACAUAAGCUUGUAUAGCUUGCACAUUUAAACUAAUUAUGCACUAUUACCUAUUAUAUAACUAUUACCAUUAAUUGAAAAUUCAGAGCGGUGUUUCGGCAACAUCCAGAGGCAUUUAGGAAAAGAAUUCAUCUCGAUUUAAGUCGCUGCAACGUGCAGUGAACGUCGUUGUUGUGAGGCUGUGGACACAGGUGACGUAUCCGAUUAAACCUUGUAAAAAUGUGGGGGGAAAUUGAACCUCGAGUUACUACAGAGGUUAAUGUGUGUGAAAAACUGGACAAGAAUGAACAGCAACCAGAAGUGUCGGUUGUGGCUUCGUCACACAGCUGCACACAGCAAACGCUGCAGAAGACUCAGGGUCAGGGCCAUGUGAAGUCCCGUUUUUUUAACGCUAUGAUAGAGGCCGUAGCCCAGAGUGGGAGCCUGGUGAAGAGCCAGCAGAUCGGAGACGCUGAGCUGACCCUGGAGGAGCGAAGAGAGGAGCUGUUGUGUCAGUACAGAAGCAAACCGCUGGUUUUCCUGGAGAGGUAUCAUGCUUGUCUGAAGCCCCAGCACUUGUCUGCCUUUGUCCACGUCAGCUCAGACCCACGGGCCCAGCACUACAGCAAAGUGAUACGGAGACGGGCUGCAGAAUGUACCAACAGAACCAGGGUCCGAAACCAGCGCUACGCUGCCCUCAGGGCACUACAGAAGGAGGGCGAGUAUUUCAGUGAGGAACAGAUGCGAAUGAGAGCUCCUCUGCUUUAUGAACAGUACAUUGGACGAUACCUGACAGAUGAAGAGGUUUUGGAGCGUUCCCAGGAAGCCAUGUUGGAUGGCAGCAAAGGGGAUUCAGGAACAUCAGCAGGAGGUGCAGGGGGGCUGGCUCACCUCCUAUUGAACUCCUAUCAGGAGGGUCUCAUCCAGAAUCGUCUGCAGGAGGAGCAGGAGGAAGAGGAGUGUGCACAGGAAGAGGAAGAAGAUGACGAGGAAGAUGACGAUAAUGGAGUCCACAAGACAGACUGGGAGCCCACGCCUGAGGAGAAGGCUUUGCUCAGGGAAGAGUUCAUAAGUCAGAUGCAUCAGCACUUCCUGGAUGGCAAAGACAAGGAUUUCAACUACAGUGAGGUGGACGAGAACCCGGACUAUGACAACUUGGACAUUGUCAGCAGAGAUGCUGAGGAUAAAUACUUUGAUGAAGAUGAAGAGGAGGAGGAAGAGGAAGAAGAGGAGGACACAGAAGAAGAUAUAACAGAUUUGCCAAUGUUAGCUCCCGUGCAGACCUGAAAAGGGAACAAAACGGAAGUCGUUUCACCAGUUUUCGUUAACACCUACCUUCGUUUCAGGGACGUGCUACUCAUCACCGUUUCCUGUCAAAUACCUUGUAGGUCAACAGCAGUUGGUGGUCGUUGUUGAUCCGGACCUGAACGAUCUGCCUUGCAGAUGACAUCACUUCCUGUCAGCCAGCCGUUGCAGAAGAGCAAUGACUGUGUCCUGUUUGGAGGAGAGCAGCUCCAGAGCUGUCGCUAUCCUUCCCAGGGAUUCUGCCAUCCGCACCUCCCUCCGCUCACGCCUCC